CUGCCCCUGCCCCUGCCCCUGCCCCUGCCUCGACCCCCUGCUGGGCUUUCUGCUCCGGCUCCGAAAUCUGCCUCUGCGCUGGGGUCCCGCAGGGCUCAGAACCGGGGAGAUAGGGCCCUUCUCCAGCCUCGGGGGGGGCGCGACGCUGGGGGGAUGAGGUGGAGCCUUCCGCCCCCGCCCCUAACCGGAGUGUCCCUUCCCCAGGAAUCCUAUUCCUGUUUGCUUUCGGGGUCAGCGCUAGCCCAGAGGCAGUUAAAGAUUAAUGGGCCGCGGCCCUGGGGGCUGGGGCGGGGGCGCUGGGGAUGGAGCUCAGCACAAGUGGUACAAGUGGUACUGGCUGGCUUUUAGUCUCUCUCUCUCUCUCUCUCUCUCUCUCUCUCUCUCUCUCGGUUGGGCACAUGGUCUUGUUCCAACCGCGACGUUGAACAGAGGGUUUGGGAGGGCCGCAGGGCCUGUCCACCUGCCCGCCAGGAGGAGACUGGGGAGCUCUGUUGCCCACCGCUGCCCUUACUCUGCCUUCUGCCUCAGCCCUGCAGACUCCCAGGGCAAGUGUAGAAAGAGGAGGGGACUCUCGCCCUCCCAGCCCCUCCCAUAGUGGUGUAAGAAGCCCCUGAGAGUGGCCAUGCCCGUGAGGGGCCCGGAAAAGCCAGGCUAGCUCCCGGGCCUGGGGCAUGCGGCUGAUCUGGGCCUCUGGCAUGAGCCUUGCCAGGCCCGUCCCACUCUGCUCCCCUGUGCCGGGGGCGUGGGGUGAGUGUGGAGGGGCUGCUGUCUUUGCAUUCGCCCUUCUCUGUCAGGAAGGAGAGUGGGGAGGUCUCCGCUCUCCCCACCCCCCACCCCAGGCCCAGAGGCCUCUCCAGGGCCCCGAUCCAUCCCUCAGGAGGCAGGGGCUCUCCCUGUCGCCUCCAGGACUUUCCCGAAGCCUCUGGCUCUGCGCAUCUAUGUAUCCACGCUGCCGUUGCGCCAGGAAGAUCUCUCCCGGGGCCCUCAGGCAGUGCCCAGCCUGCAAUGAGGACUUCGUGGAUCUUAGCGUGUGCCCCGGGUUCCGGGGCCCGAACAGCCACUGCUCUGGCGACAGUGUUGAUGAGGGGGCGGUUCUGUUACUCAAAUGCACCUGAAAGGAGUGCUCACAGCCUCUGGACACCUGUCCUUACCCCUGAGGGCCGAUGGCCUUGAUGCUCUCCAGGAGGCCCUUGAAGGGGAAACCAGGGUAGUUACAAAAUCCUGUCUCAAAUACGCACACCAGGAGUUUGCUGUCAUUAACUCAUUUUUAAAUUUUUUAAAAAAGAUUGUA